rnacentral:rRNA from 1 species
AACGAACGCUGGCGGCAUGCCUAACACAUGCAAGUCGAACGAGACCUUCGGGUCUCGUGGCGCACGGGUGCGUAACGCGUGGGAACCUGCCCUUAGGUUCGGGAUAACUCCCCGAAAGGGGUGCUAAUACCGGAUAAUGUCUUCGGACCAAAGAUUUAUCGCCUUUGGAUGGGCCCGCGUUGGAUUAGCUAGUUGGUAGGGUAAAAGCCUACCAAGGCGACGAUCCAUAGCUGGUCUGAGAGGAUGAGCAGCCACACUGGGACUGAGACACGGCCCAGACUCCUACGGGAGGCAGCAGUGGGGAAUAUUGGACAAUGGGCGAAAGCCUGAUCCAGCAAUGCCGCGUGAGUGAUGAAGGCCUUAGGGUUGUAAAGCUCUUUUACCCGGGAUGAUAAUGACAGUACCGGGAGAAUAAGCUCCGGCUAACUCCGUG